CGUGUAGGCGGCCUUUUAAGUCUGAUGUGAAAGCCCGGGGCUUACCUCCGGAAGUGCAUUGGAAACUGGAAGGCUAGAGUACCGGAGAGGAGGGUGGAAUUCCUGGUGUAGCGGUGAAAUGCGUAGAUAUCAGGAGGAACACCGGUGGCGAAGGCGGCCCUCUGGACGGCUACUGACGCUGAGACGCGAAAGCGUGGGGAGCAAACAGGAUUAGAUACCCUGGUAGUCCACGCUGUAAACGAUGGGCACUAGGUGUUCGGGGUAUUGACCCCCUGAGUGCCGCAGCUAACGCAUUAAGUGCCCCGCCUGGGGACUACGGCCGCAAGGUUAAA
rnacentral:rRNA from 1 species